rnacentral:lncRNA from 10 species
AUGUAAGAAGUUUCCUUUGUUUACUACGCUUAAUUGGGAUUCCACACAUGAAUGAAGAAGAGAAGACGGUCUCUCCCAGGGUGACUGGGAAAGGGAAAAAAAGGUGAUGAAGGAACAGUCUGUGCCUCAGGAGCAUAUUAUUUCAAGAAGCACAAAUGAAGAGAAAGUCCAAACCCUCUGGGACAGAUGGACUAAAUAUUUUGGUAUUGGAACCACAUGGGGAAAGGCAGCAGUUGGGAAACAGAAACAGAGGCCUGAUAAGGGAACCUGGAAACAGCAUCAAUCUUCUCAGAAGUUUCCAAGGACUCCAGAUAUGCAGGGAACUGGACACCAAGCUCACGUGAGGAAGGAAUCAAAGUGAAUGAAACAUUGAUCUUGAAGUUAGUAAAAUGCAGUAAGUGAGGAAAAUAUCUGUGUUCUUGUGAAAGAGUUGAUUUCUCAACUUUGGGGUUCUGUAUAAAAAUGACUAAUAUUCAUCAAGCAUUGGCUUUCUACUUAGAACAGAGUGUUUAUAUGAAUUAACUUAUGUAAUCAUCACAUCAGUCUUAUGAUGCAGGCACUGUUCUUACUGCACCCACCUUUUUUCUUAUAUAGACAGAGAGGUAAGUAACCUCCCAGAGUCACAGAAUGUUAGAGUGACUUUGACCGCGUUUAUGUAGUCUCAUGCCUGAGCUCACACUCUUGUGCCUCCCAGGGACUUUAGCAAUCACCUAACUCUGAUUUGCUUCCCUCCCCUCCUUACCCCAGCUUUCUCCCUCACUCCCUAUUCUAAACAAUUAAGAGUGAACUCAAGAGCAUCCAAGGACCUGUGUAGUUGCCUUGAAAUACCCCAAAUAUUUGUGUGUCUUAGGAAUGACAAAUCCCUGGUAAUCAUUACAAUAAUGAUGUGGUAUUAUUAUGAAGUAUUUCAUUAGUACUUAUUCAAUGGUGUUUCUAACAUUGUAUGGUUAAGUAUCACCUCAAGAGUGAAGAAUAAUAAUUGAUGAUAAUGAUCACGGGAAGCUGAUAUUUUAACUUUUGGUUCAAAAAGCCUUUACUUUGGAGAACCAGAGACCAAUGAUGAAAUGUGAUGUUCCAAUUACAGGGCUGAAACCACAGGUAUCUGAAAUGCAGUGGAAAAAAACAAUGAGAAUGUGAGGGCCCUAGGUAACAUGAAGCGAUUGGUCUCGCUGUUGGGCAUAAUGAACUCCUACCUGCACUCAGUGCCACAUGAUGCAGAGUUUAUGGUGCCUCUGAGACUGUUCGUAAAGAGAGGCGUUGUGUGGGACUGAUAACAGCUCUGCUCAAGGACAGCAAUGAUGUCUGCCACAUCCUUGGAGUUGGGAAUUACCUGGCCUCGUUACCUCCUCCCCACUCCUCCCCACCCCAGGAAUCUGGAUGCUCAAGGCUUGACUAUUUCCUCCAUUCUCCCCUCACUCAAGCCCCGUGUUCAGAAGCAAUCAGAUAAACUCAUUCAUUCUGAAAAGUUUAAUGUGUGACUCUUCCAAGGACAGUUUGUUUUAACAGAAAAUCAAGUUUCAGAACAAAUGUCCAACAGGUCCCA